rnacentral:lncRNA from 1 species
CUCGGACGGUGCGGCAGCCGCCGAGAGCAGCCGAGAGUCCCGCGGACGCGAGCGGAAUACUGAUGCUGAUGUGAAGAGCUACAGCCAUGCCAGCAAGCUGCCUCAUGCUCUGCAAACGCAGCCAUGAAACGUGGCCACCUCCAUGCCUUCCUUUCCAUGAUGGACCUGCGAACUGUGAACCAAUGCCCCAUGGAAACCAGAAGAAGGUGCCAGAUCCUUUGGAAUUGGAUGUGGACGCUGGUAAUUGAACCCAGGUCUUCUAUAAAGCAGCCCGUGCUCUUAAGUGCUGAGUCAUCUCUCCAGCUUCUGAAGUAUCAACUGAAAGGCCUAGGAGAUGGUCUCUGGGCAACUGGGGUGGCAUGAACUUGGGUUUCUUUAGAAGCAUCAAUGAUCUGGUGUCACUGUUGGUGACACAAUGUGGGAUGGCACUGCAGUCACAGAAUGGUGUUCUUCCUCCCCAGAGCUUCACAUGGGAGCACUCAUAUCUGACGAGGUCACAAUGAUGAAUAAACUCUGGGCAUCACGGUCUCUUGAGAAAUGGCAGGUUUGAAUGCUUGGUCUCAAGUUGGUGGUGCUGCUGUAGGAAGCUGUACAACCUUUAGGAGGUGGGGUCUAGCUGAAGGGAGGGGGACCACCAGGGGGUGGGACUUAAAGCUUUGCCCCACUUCCUG